CACGCCGCCGCAGCCCGGGCGGGCGGGCGGGUUCAUCACGCCUCUCAGAAUGACUGCGGCUUAAAACUCACGGAUUAUUCACCCCUGGGAUUUGCCAUUGAGUGCUGUGGACUGCUGCUGACCACAGUCCCACUAGCUUCCAUGAGAAUGAGCCCAGGCUAGUCUGAUGGAGGAUGAGAGACCAUAUGGAGCAGAGAUGAGCUAACCUAGCAUGACCUGCAUGAGUAACCUCAAAGACAGAAGAACCACCCAGCUUAACCCAUCUUCAAUGGUCAGCCUGAAGAAUUGUGAUGCUGUUUCUGCUGGUCCUGGGAUCCCACACUUGAACCACGGCUCUAAACCAACAACUGAGCCCGAGGACUUCAAUGCUUGCAAACAUUCCAUCACAAUAUAAAUAUUUCUUUAUUGUU